rnacentral:rRNA from 1 species
GGGUCAGUAGGUUGGUCGUGCCACCGGUACGUACUGGUCUCACUGAUUCCUCAUUCCUGAAGAACCGUAAUGCCAUUAAUUUGGUGUUGCGGGAAAACAGGACUUUUACUUUGAAAAAAUUAGAGUGUUUAAAGCAAGCUAACGCUUGAAUACAUUAGCAUGGAAUAAUGAAAUAGGACGAUCGAUCCUAUUUUGUUGGUUUCUAGGAUUGACGUA